UGCCCUCUUUGUUGUCUGGUGUUCUUUAUGUUCCCUACAGGAGCUGCCGAUACAAAGGCCUGACCCAGAAGAAAUUCUGCGUCACCUGUACCAUCAAGAUCAAGAUCAAGAUCAAAAUGGCGCGCGAAUUGCAGCUGUCCUGGACGUUGACAAUUUCUUGGUAACUUCGUGGAUUCAAUAAUGUCUGAGGAAGAAUAUGAAAAGGAAUGCAGGAAAUGAUUUACCCAAGAGAACAUUGUGCAGGAAAGAGUUAUCAUUUACCAAAUGACAAAGAACCAUGUACGAGGCCUUACUCGCAUGGAGAAGCAGAAAGUUAGGAGGCAGUCAUCUCUUCUCCAAUGGGAUCCAGAAAAGAAGAUUUUGUAUUAUACUGGCCACAGAGAUAGCAAGAAAAGAGAGGUGGUCAGGAAUCUGAGCAGCUUGAGAAGGUGCUGAAUAUCUUUCACACCAGCCCAACAGGAGAGCACAGUGGCUGGAACUCCACUUACACGAAAAUUUCAAAGGAGUAUAUCUGGAGAAAGAUGCAGUUUGACACCAAGCACUAUGUUGCCAUGUGUCCCAAGUGCCAAAAGCACAACCCAGUGAAGACACAGCCCACUGCAGUGAGACGCAGCAAGGUUAAGGAGCCGUGGGAGCUGGUUCAAGUAGACUCGACUGCUUUGAACCAUCACUUCCCAAGAUCCCAAAGUGUACUUCAAGUUGGUCUAAGGAUGAACUUCUUUUGCUGUUGGAGUUGAUGAGAGAAUGCAAGAAAACCAUCAAAAGAGUAUUAGGGCCGAACUUGGCAACAGAGGACAAGAGAGCGCGUGCUGAGAUGGCUGACGUUCUCGAUGCUACCUUCCUACUUGUUUGGCGGUCACAGGAACAAGUGGAAAAACAAUGCCAGAACUUGCUUUCAAAAGAGUGAUGAAUCCUGAUAUAUGAAAUCCAUUGCUGAUAUCAAGAUGUAUGUAGACAUUGACUGCCCCAGUGAUGAAGCUGUCACUUUCUUGCAAGACUACCCAGUAGAGAGUGGGCUAAAUGCAAUCUUUGAGGCUGGAGAUGUUCCUGCUGGAUGCCAUCUUGUAGGAGACAGUGGUUACCCAAGUGAAGAGGCAGCUGCUAAAGCAUACCUAUGCCCUCAGUCAGGACCACAAACUAACUACAAUAGCUUGACGGCCUCCACCAGCUUGUCCCUACCAUCACAGAUCCACUUUUCCACAUCCCUCAGCAGUAGAAUGUGGAGGGCAAAGGUGAGGUCCAGCCCUAUGUCAGCCAACUGCAAUAGUACCAUGGUGUUAUCAAGAGUGUGUGAGGACAUGAGAUGGAAAUAAAGUGGGUGUUUAGUAUUACUACUGAGAAAACUCUGAUCUGGUAUAAGCUGAAUAAUGAAAAUCCAAGUGUGUG